rnacentral:rRNA from 1 species
GCCUACGGGACGCAGCAGUAGGGAAUUUUCGUCAAUGGGCGCAAGCCCGAACGAGCGAUGCCGCGUGAGUGAAGAAGGCCUUCGGGUCGUAAAGCUCUGUUGCGGGGGAAAAAAGGCAGCAUCAGGAAAUGGGUGCUGACUGAUGGUGCCCCGCCAGAAAGUCACGGCUAACUACGUGCCAGCAGCCGCGGUAAUACGUAGGUGGCGAGCGUUAUCCGGAAUGAUUGGGCGUAAAGGGUGCGCAGGCGGUCCUGUAAGUCUGGAGUGAAAGGCAUGGGCUCAAAUCAUGCAUGGCUUUGGAAACU